rnacentral:lncRNA from 1 species
UUUUGAUAGAGGCUAAUUCAUUUUAAAGAUUUCUGUGGGAGACCAAGUGACAUUUUAAAACCCAGGAAAUAGGCCAGGGACGAUGGCUUACGCCUGUAAUCUCAGUGCUUUGAGAGGCAGAGGUGGGAGGGGAUUGCUUGAGCCUGGCAGGUGCAGGCUUCAGUGAGCAGUGUUCAUGCCACUGCACUCCAGCCUGAGUGACAGAGUGAGACCGCGUCUCAAGAACAACAACAACAACAACAACAACGACUCGGCAAAUCUGAGUAAAAGAGAAAAGCAGUACUUUUCUAAACUACCUCCCAAAUUAGGUAGUGAGAUACAUAUACAAGUGCAUGCCAAAUGGUAAAG